rnacentral:rRNA from 1 species
UACGGAGGGGGCUAGCGUUGUUCGGAUUUACUGGGCGUAAAGGGCGCGUAGGCGGCUCGUGAAGUCGGGUGUGAAAGCCCGGGGCUCAACCCCGGAACGGCAUCCGAUACUGGCGGGCUUGAGACCGGGAGAGGAGGGUGGAAUACCCAGUGUAGAGGUGAAAUUCGUAGAUAUUGGGUGGAACACCGGUGGCGAAAGCGGCUCUCUGGCCCGGAUCUGACGCUGAGGCGCGAAAGCGUGGGAGCAACAGG